AAUGACCAGGAAAGCUGCCCAUUCUCAUGGGCAAGAUCACCAGAGAAUUUGUUUAGACAGGAGACGUAUUUGGCUCUGGCAACUGCAUUUGUGUUUGUGAGAUUGAUAUAUAUAUUUUUCCCUACCCUGCUUGUAGUUGCUCAAUUUGCUUGCAGAAGGCAUAUUCAGAACUUGAGAUUGGGGAGCUUGUUGAAGCAUCCUUGGGCUUAUCUGAAUGGAAUAAUACAAAUAUUCAAUUCUCUGAAGGAGCCUUGCAGGAAAA
rnacentral:misc_RNA from 1 species